CGGGGCGGGGCUCAGAGGGCCGCCGCGGGGCGCCGCGCACGGCAAAGGCACGGUCCUCCGUCACGUCGAGCUUGGAGUUUGAACCUAGAGGACCUGCGAUGGUGGCACGUGACUCUGCCAGUGGGAACGCCUGACGCAGGAGAACGUGGUCGGGCAGCGCCGCGCACUACGACUCCCAGCAUGCCCCGCGUGGGCGGGCCUCAGCGCGCCGGCGCUGUCCAGUCCCGCGGGGGCCGACGGGAGGUGCGGUGGCCAGGGUGGGGAAGGAACCGGGCCGCCGGGAGAUGUGUCUGCCCGGGCCGCUGGGGAGUGGAGUUCGCCGACGCCCGCUGUGGCCCAUGGCAGCGUUGGGUCUGCGCCGUGAGGGAAGUGUGUGCAGACUCGCCGCGGCCUCCUCGGCGUGUGGCCCAGUCCCGCKCUCAGCCCGGCGCACCUCCGGGUCGGGUCCCCUUGGUCCCCGCGGCCGCAGCACCUCGCGCUAGGAGCGGACGUGCGCUGGGGGACCGACCGGCCCGCUAGGGUGGGAGGAAACCACUUCUCUGGCUGUGACCCGUGGUGGAGGGAACCUAGACGGCCGCCACGUCCACGUGCUGCAAAGAACCCGUCUGCGUCACGGGGUCGCUGCAGCACGCGGGGCCCGGAGAGGAAAUCCCGCAGCAAAGCCGGUGGCCGGGCACUCGGGGACAGACAGGUGGAAGAAAGGGACGUGCUGGGGGGGAGCGUCGCUGUGCUUUCCACUCCGCGUGGACUUAAAUUCAGGAGCCACCAGGAUAGAAGGACGUGUUGAGGCCACUCCCGUGCAGGGGCAGCCCAGACUCUGGAAGCCCCGUGGACGGAACUGGCACCCAGGUGGCCGAGCCCAGCGCCCGGAACCCUCCUGCCAUCGGCUGGCGCUCMCAGAGGACUGCCCGCCCAGUGUGGGCUUCGGCCGCGGAAGCCCCGGAGGGGCGCUUAAGCAGUUCGAAAAACGUGCCAAAUUCGCCUCUAUGUCAGAUUAUUCACAAGAUUUACUUUGAAAUCCUACACUUAUUAAAGGGAGGCUUGUGAUUUGUUUCCUAAGGUGCCAGUUGACUGUCAGCCCAAGGAAGAUUUCCCACGUAUUUAGCUGUGCACCGGCCACCCCGACAGUCCUCACCAACUCCCACUUUGCCGGCCUGAGAACCUUCCCACGGGCAGGCUAGCCCGGGUAAGACCGGCCCUCCACCGCUGAAUACACCCCUCUUACCAGGAAGCUUUUUGGAAUCCUGGGCACAAACUGCCAAUUAGCAGGACAGCAUAGGAGGAUGUCCGGUCACACCCUUGUGGGACCAGUUCACCACGGGGUUUAAUAGGAAUCCUGAAUUGGAUGGGUUCCAGUUUGCAGGCUACAUCUCUGCUCAUUGAAGUCAUUUACCAUUGGAUUCAACUUUUUCUCUUCUCAUUAUUGCUCCAAAGAUCAUUCCCUAGGUCCCCUGCAAGGCUCCCUGUUGAGCAAUGAAUAACCAGGUGCCUGUGUGUUUUCAUUCUGUUGGAGGCGUGUCURCAGGGCAGGUUCCCAGAGGGGCGACUGACAGGAUUUAUCAGCCACAUUGCUUUUGGACCUCCCUCUGGGGACUUGGCCAUCUCUCAGUUAAGAGCUUGGAAUGUGAAGACUGGUCCUGGCCAGAAUGGAGCAAGGAACGUGGCUUUUCAUUGGCUCACCAAACCUCGGCCUCCUGCUUCUCUGAACACUCUCUGUUUCAUAGACCCAGGGCCAGCUCCAGGACAGAAGUGCUGACCAUGGAGGAAGUGGCCUACGUGGAACCCUGCUGUUAAAGUGAAUGGGGCUUAUUUCAAGACARYAAGUUUCAAAAGCAUUGCUAGAGGGGACCCACCGUUGUCCUCCCUGUUCACAGCCUCUGCGGCCCUGUGACCUCCGCUCUUCCCUGAUGCUCKCUAUGCACUGGGGCUGGUUUGGGUCUUGGAAGUGUGGUCCAGUGCGGUGGGGCUGAGAUGGAAGAACCCAGUCCUGGAAGGUGGAGGAGUCAUAUGCACACGGCUCAAGGAGGGGAUGGAAUUCUGGUCUCGUAGGAUGAGUUACUUCUCAGGGGAGCAAGGUCACCCCGUGCUUGGUCCCUUCUUCAUGAGGCAGUUUCUCUUCCUGCUCCUCUCUCAUGCUGUGACAGCAGAACCUGAACAGGUGGUGGCCCCCGAUUUUGC